GACGAGGGGUCCUAGCGUUGUUCGGAAUCACUGGGCGUAAAGCGUAUGUAGGCGGGCUUUUAAGUCAGGUGUGAAAUCCCACGGCUCAACCGUGGAAUUGCAUUUGAAACUGGAAGUCUUGAAUGUGGGAGAGAUUGGUAGAAUACCUAGUGUAGUGGUGAAAUACGUAGAUAUUAGGUGGAAUACCGGUGGCGAAGGCGGCCAAUUGGCCCAACAUUGACGCUGAGGUGCGAAAGCGAUGGGGAGCAAAC
rnacentral:rRNA from 1 species